rnacentral:rRNA from 1 species
AGCAGGCAGANCCAUUUUCUGCCACCGAAUACAUUAGCAUGGGAUAAUGGAAUAGGACCCUGUCCUCCUAUUUUCAGUUGGUUUUGGCAGCGCGAGGACUAGGGUAAUGAUUAAUAGGGAUAGUUGGGGGCAUUAAUAUUUAAUUGUCAGAGGUGAAAUUCUUGGAUUUAUGAAAGAUUAACUUCUGCGAAAGCAUCUGCCAAGGAUGUUUUCAUUAAUCAAGAACGAAAGUUAGGGGAUCGAAGACGAUCAAUACCGUCGUAGUCUUAACCAUAAACGAUGCCGACCAGCGAUUAGGAGACGUUGAAUACAAAACACCACCAUCGGCGCGGUUGUCCUUGGCGGUUUGGUCUCCCUUGCAAAGGGG